AUUGAACGCUGGCGGCAGGCCUAACACAUGCAAGUCGAACGGUAACAGGAAGAAGCUUGCUUCUUUGCUGACGAGUGGCGGACGGGUGAGUAAUGUCUGGGAAACUGCCUGAUGGAGGGGGAUAACUACUGGAAACGGUAGCUAAUACCGCAUAAUGUCGCAAGACCAAAGAGGGGGACCUUCGGGCCUCUUGCCAUCGGAUGUGCCCAGAUGGGAUUAGCUAGUAGGUGGGGUAACGGCUCACCUAGGCGACGAUCCCUAGCUGGUCUGAGAGGAUGACCAGCCACACUGGAACUGAGACACGGUCCAGACUCCUACGGGAGGCAGCAGUGGGGAAUAUUGCACAAUGGGCGCAAGCCUGAUGCAGCUAUGCCGCGUGUAUGAAGAAGGCCUUCGGGUUGUAAAGUACUUUCAGCGGGGAGGAAGGGAGUAAAGUUAAUACCUUUGCUCAUUGACGUUACCCGCAGAUGAAGCACCGGCUAACUCCGUG
rnacentral:rRNA from 1 species